AUUGAACGCUGGCGGCAUGCCUUACACAUGCAAGUCGAACGGCAGCACGGGAGCUUGCUCCUGGUGGCGAGUGGCGAACGGGUGAGUAAUACAUCGGAACAUGCCCUGAAGUGGGGGAUAACGUAGCGAAAGUUACGCUAAUACCGCAUAUUCUGUGAGCAGGAAAGAGGGGGAUCGCAAGACCUCUCGCUUUAGGAGUGGCCGAUGUCGGAUUAGCUAGUUGGCGGGGUAAGAGCCCACCAAGGCGACGAUCCGUAGCGGGUCUGAGAGGAUGAUCCGCCACACUGGGACUGAGACACGGCCCAGACUCCUACGGGAGGCAGCAGUGGGGAAUUUUGGACAAUGGGCGCAAGCCUGAUCCAGCCAUGCCGCGUGAGUGAAGAAGGCCUUCGGGUUGUAAAGCUCUUUCGGCGGGGAAGAAAUUGCACUUUCUAAUACGAGGUGUAGAUGACGGUACCCGCAUAAGAAGCACCGGCUAACUACGUG
rnacentral:rRNA from 1 species